CAAAGAAGGAAUGCUUGGUUGGAAAUAACUGAUUAGUCAAUGUUGCCAGUGGCUCCAGGUUAUCCUGCCUGAAGAUCGGGAUGGCGCUUCAUGAGCUGAAGGUAAAUACAGAGAUGGUGGCGCAGAGAGGGCGGGGAACAAUCAGGGAGCUCCAUUCAGCUGUGCGGUGGGGGAAAGUGGAGGAAACGGGUAGACGAUUCGAGCGAUAAGAAGAUACCAGGGAUUGGAUCUUUCACCAGCAAGUACAGAAAGGUCAUCAGUGUUGAACUCGGUGUUCUGAUCAGGUUUCAAACCUGCUUUCACCAUGAACUUGAACUGGUGAAAAAAGCAAUAACUCUUUCCUCCCCCUUCAAUAAGCAGUGUGAAGAGUUUCUUGUGAAAGAACAAUUUAUAAUAAUAUUUUCAACAUGUCCCUCACAUUUUCCAUUGAGCCAUAUACUGAACCACACAGCCAGCAGAAUGGGAUCUAUAGGAGCACAUUCUUCUUGGAAAUUAGAUUUUUUAAUAAAAAAACAUAACAUUUUCUUCUCUAUGUUUAGGGCACCCACAGAUGCUAUUUAAUUUGAGCAUUUUCAAGAGUUCACUUUCUGCCAAGUUAACUGUCUAACUGUGCUUACUUCCAAAAUUACACGCUAAGCCUCACAUGUGAGUAAAUAUUAUAGCCACCGCUGUUUCAUGCAUACAGUAUCUGUGCUCUUUAUGUUUGUACCCAAACAGAUCAUGAUACCGUUUAGUGUCAUGAGGCAGUAAUGAUGAUCAGUGUUCUUUAAAAUGCUUUGGGCUAUUGUGUUUUAAAGGAACGAACUGUGUGGUGCAUUGUAAAUAAAGAUAUAGUGAGUGCAGUGUCAUUUCCAGUUUUCAUUACUGUGAGUGAUGUGAGACGACAGAAUACUUCCUCUUAGCAAUGACUGACCUAUAUGAAAGGUCCACUAUUGUCUAUGACUUUGCUUCCAGGCAAGAAGACAAAUGAGUGAAUGGUCAAUAAUGAGCAUCAUUACAAUUCCAUUGGAGCAAGAAAUCAGAGAUUUCUCAGAGUGCCGUAGAGCCAUAAACCCAGAAUGAAUGGUUGGCUUCAGAAAUGGAGGUCGCCAACUCCAAAAAGGAAAAGAUAAAAUGUCAUUGAAACAUUGUAGAGGGUGUUAGAGAAGAGACACAGGAAUGAUUCUAAGGUUCAAAGUUGUGAGGAGAAAUUCAAAAAGAGGAAUUUGUUUGUGAGCACAGAAGUUUCGCUCACAAAAUAUACAAUUAAUUCACUUUACAGUAUAUUCUGUGAAGCACUUUGAGACAUCUCAAAGACGUGAUAAAGUGCAAUAUCAAAUGCAAGGAUUAUUAUUAAGUAGAGGACGUAGGUGAAAAGAUUAAAAUAUUCAAGCAAAACCAAAAAUUAGAAGGGUGUUUUCACUGCUUUCCCCACACAUGCAACCAGUGAAUAUGUGGAAUAAAUUCCCAAAGAUUCCCAAUGAAAGCUCUUGAAGUGCCAAUUAAUUCUUUCAAAGAGUAACUGAGUAGUUUUUCUGAACAGUUUUUGGUUCAUUGAUUAUGCAUAUUCAGAUGAAUAAAUACUUUAUGGAACAUAAUAAAUUGUUGGAGGAAGUGGGGUGCGUGGGGAUGGGAAAUAAAGUCCCUAGGGGAGGAAGUGGCCUAGAGCUAAAUGCGAGAAAUUGGAAUUGGAAUCAUAUCCUGGAGGUAUUGUUCCAUUAUCUUUGAGGAUUGUUCAAACCGCCGUCGUCUGCAUUCUCACCCACACCAAAAUUGUAUCCUGAUUACUCUAGUCCUUGCCAAACUCCACUGGCUCCCUGUCACA